rnacentral:rRNA from 1 species
AAGCUAGCGCGUUAAGCAUUCCCCUGGGGAGUUCGGACGCAAGCCUGAAACUCAAAGGAAUUGACGGGGGCCCGCACAAGCGGUGGAGCAUGUGGUUUAAUUCGAUGAUACGCGAGGAACCUUACCAAGGCUUAAAUGUAGAUUGACCGAUUUGGAAACAGAUCUUUCGCAAGACAAUUUACAAGGUGCUGCAUGGUUGUCGUCAGCUCGUGCCGUGAGGUGUCAGGUUAAGUCCUAUAACGAGCGCAACCCCUGUUGUUAGUUGCCAGCGAGUCAUGUCGGGAACUCUAACGAGACUGCCAGGGCAAACUGUGAGGAAGGUGGGGAUGACGUCAAAUCAUCACGGCCCUUACGCCUUGGGCUACACACGUGCUACGAUGGCCGGUACAGAGAGCAGCCACCUCGCGAGGGGGAGCGAAUCUAUAAAACCGGUCACAGUUCGGAUCGGAGUCUGCAACUCAACUCCGUGAAGCUGGAAUCGCUAGUAAUCGGAUAUCAGCCAUGAUCCGGUGAAUACGUUCCCGGGCCUUGUACACACCGCCCGUCAAGCCAUGGAAGCUGGGGGUGCCUGAAGUCGGUGACCGCAAGGAGCUGCCUAGGGUAAAACUGGUAACUAGGGCUAAGUCGUAACAAGGUAACAAGUCGUAGAGUUUGAUCAUGGCU